rnacentral:piRNA from 1 species
GAAGAGAGAGUCAAAUGGAAACUU